UACGUAGGGCGCAAGCGUUGUCCGGAAUUAUUGGGCGUAAAGAGCUCGUAGGCGGUUUGUCGCGUCUGCUGUGAAAACCUAAGGCUCAACCUUGGGCUUGCAGCCGAUACGGGCAGACUAGAGUUCGGUAGGGGAGACUGGAAUUCCUGGUGUAGCGGUGAAAUGCGCAGAUAUCAGGAGGAACACCGGUGGCGAAGGCGGGUCUCUGGGCCGAUACUGACGCUGAGGAGCGAAAGCGUGGGGAGCAAACAGG
rnacentral:rRNA from 1 species